AGUGAACGCUGGCGGUAGGCCUAACACAUGCAAGUCGAACGGCAGCACAGUAAGAGCUUGCUCUUACGGGUGGCGAGUGGCGGACGGGUGAGGAAUACAUCGGAAUCUACUUUUUCGUGGGGGAUAACGUAGGGAAACUUACGCUAAUACCGCAUACGACCUACGGGUGAAAGCAGGGGAUCUUCGGACCUUGCGCGAUUGAAUGAGCCGAUGUCGGAUUAGCUAGUUGGCGGGGUAAAGGCCCACCAAGGCGACGAUCCGUAGCUGGUCUGAGAGGAUGAUAAGCCACACUGGAACUGAGACACGGUCCAGACUCCUACGGGAGGCAGCAGUGGGGAAUAUUGGACAAUGGGCGCAAGCCUGAUCCAGCCAUACCGAGUGGGUGAAGAAGGCCUUCGGGUUGUAAAGCCCUUUUGUUGGGAAAGAAAAGCAGCAGGUUAAUACCCCGCUGUUCUGACGGUACCCAAAGAAUAAGCACCGGCUAACUUCGUG
rnacentral:rRNA from 1 species